rnacentral:rRNA from 1 species
GAUGAACGCUAGCGGCAGGCCUAAUACAUGCAAGUCGAACGGAUAUAUGUUUUUCGGAAUAUAUAUUAGUGGCGCACGGGUGAGUAACACGUACAUAACUUGCCCUCAAGCGGGGGAUAGCCUUGGGAAACUGAGAGUAAUACCCCAUAGAAUUAUUGGACGGCAUCGUUUGAUAAUUAAAACUACGGUGUUUGGGGAUAGAUGUGCGUCUGAUUAGCUAGUUGGUGAGGUAACUGCUCACCAAGGCGACGAUCAGUAGGGGGCGUGAGAGCGUGGCCCCCCACACGGGUACUGAGACACGGACCCGACUCCUACGGGAGGCAGCAGUAAGGAAUAUUGGUCAAUGGAGGGAACUCUGAACCAGCCAUGCCGCGUGAAGGAUGACGGCCCUCUGGGUUGUAAACUUCUUUUGGAUGGGGCGAAAAAACGGGNUUUAUCCUGGACUGACGGUACCAUCAGAAUAAGCACCGGCUAACUCCGUGCCAGCAGCCGCGGUAAAGUAG